GACGAACGCUGGCGGCGUGCUUAACACAUGCAAGUCGAACGAGUGGCGAACGGGUGAGUAACGCAUCGGAACGUCCCGAGUAGUGGGGGAUAACCGUCCGAAAGGACAGCUAAUACCGUAAAUUAUUCGAGCGGCCGAUGUGUGAUUAGCUGGUUGGCGGGGUAGAGGCCCACCAAGGCGACGAUCAGUAGCGGGUCUGAGAGGAUGAUCCGCCACACUGGGACUGAGACACGGCCCAGACUCCUACGGGAGGCAGCAGUGGGGAAUUUUGGACAAUGGGCGCAAGCCUGAUCCAGCCAUGCCGCGUGUCUGAAGAAGGCCAUCGGGUUGUAAAGGACUUUUGUCAGGGAAGCGGUACCUGAAGAAUAAGCACCGGCUAACUACGUGCCAGCCGCCGCGGUAAUAC
rnacentral:rRNA from 1 species